UUUGCAUACUGCUCAGUAACACGUGGAUAACCUGCCCUACACUGGGGGAUAAUCUCGGGAAACUGAGCAUAAUACCCCAUAGACCACUACGCCUGGAACGGUGAGUGGUUGAAAGCUCAGGCGGUGUAGGAUGGGUCUGCGGCGUAUCAGGUCGUAGGGGGUGUAAUGGACCUCCUAGCCAUCGACGCGUACGGGUUGUGGGAGCAAUAGCCCGGAGACGGAUUCUGAGACACGAAUCCGGACCCUACGGGGUGCAGCAGGCGCGAAAACUUCACACUGCAGGAAACUGUGAUGAGGGAACUCCAAGUGACUGCCCAAUGGGUAGCCUUUUCUUGAAUCUUAAUAGUUCUUGGAAUAAGGGCUGGGAAAGACCGGUGCCAGCCGCCGCGGUAAUACCGGCAGCUCAAGUGGUCGUCGCUUUUAUUGGGCCUAAAACGUCCGUAGCCUGUUUGGUAAAUCUGUGGGUAAAUCAACGAGCUUAACUCGUUGAAUUCUGCAGAGACUGCCAGACUAGGGACCGGGAGAGGUAUGAGGUACUCUGGGGGUAGGGGUAAAAUCCUGUCAUCCUCAGAGGACCACCUGUUGCGAAGGCGUCAUACUGGAACGGAUCCGACGGUCAGGGACGAAGCCUAGGGGCACGAACCGGAUUAGAUACCCGGGUAGUCCUAGGUGUAAACGCUGUGGAUUUUGGUGUGCGGGGUCCGCAAUGGGCCCCAUGUGCCGGAAUGAAGAUGUUAAAUCCACUGCCUGGGGAGUACGGUCGCAAGGCUGAAACUUAAAGGAAUUGGCGGGGGAGCACUGCAACGGGAGGAGCGUGCGGUUUAAUU
rnacentral:rRNA from 1 species